rnacentral:rRNA from 1 species
UUGUUUUGAGGCGAGUCUACACGCAGAGGCGAGACAAACACCCAACACCAAGCAAAGCUUGAAGGUACAAAUGACGCUCGAACAGGCAUGCCCCAUGGAAUACCAAGGGGCGCAAUGUGCGUUCAAAGAUUCGAUGAUUCACUGAAUUCUGCAAUUCUCACUACUUAUCGCAUUUCGCUGCGUUCUUCAUCGAUGCCAGAACCAAUAGAUCCGUUGUUGAAAGUUGUAACUAUUAAGUUUUUUCAGACGCUGAUUGCAACUGCAAAGGGUUUAAAGUGUCCAAUCGG